GAGGUUGUAGCUCAGAUGGAUAGAGCAUCUCACUCCUAACGAGAAGGUCGGCAGUUCGACUCUGCCCAACCUCA
rnacentral:tRNA from 1 species